GGGCCUGUAGCUCAAUGGUUAGAGCCGGCGGCUCAUAACCGCUUGGUUGGGAGUUCGAGUCUCUCCAGCCCCCCCA
rnacentral:tRNA from 1 species